UCAGGUAUGAACUAUUUGUUUAUUUAUUCCCUUUCAGGAAACCUGUGGUGAUGGGGGAUGCUGGGAUGGGCAGGGAGCAAGUCCCUGGUGAAGACUCCAGAGAAAGGAGCUGUUCCUGUGUGGGACCUGCAGGAAUGUCAUAAAUAUAUUCUUGCUGGACAUUGGAGUCUCUGACAUAUGUAAAAGACACAACUCCUAGCAAAUUGGUGAAAUGGAGGUCUACUUUAGUGCCAUGUUCUGUAGGCUCCAGCAUCUGCUUCUGGUAAGGACCUCAGGAAACUUACAAUCAUGGCAGAAGACAAAGAGAGAGUGGGCACAUCGCAUGGUGAGAGCCGGAGCAAGAGAGAGAGAGUGGAGAUGCCACACACUUUUAACAAUCAGAUCUCACAAGAACUCCCUCACUAUUGUGAGGAGAGCACUGAGCCAUUAAUAAGGAUCUGUAACCUAUGAUCCAGAAGUCUCCCACCAGGCCUCACCUCCAACAUCGGAGGUCACAUUUCAACGUGAGAUUUGGAGAGGACAGACACCCGAACCACAUCAAUGGGUCUCAGCAAGGGGCUCCAUCAACUGCCUCAGACUUGUCUGGAAGGUGGCAGACAUAGGCAGUUCCUGCCUUGCUGAAGAGGGCUACACUGCUGAGUGAAUGCUCUGAAGCAGAGGGGCAUUUGGU
rnacentral:lncRNA from 13 species